UACGGGGGGGGCAAGCGUUGUUCGGAAUUACUGGGCGUAAAGGGUUAGUAGGUGGCCAACUAAGUCAGACGUGAAAUCCCUCAGCUUAACUGGGGAACUGCGUCUGAGACUGAUUGGCUCGAGGACAGGAGAGGAACGCGGAAUUCCAGGUGUAGCGGUGAAAUGCGUAGAUAUCUGGAGGAACACCGGUGGCGAGGGCGGCGUUCUGGACUGUUUCUGACACUGAAUAACGAAAGCCAGGGGAGCAAACGGG
rnacentral:rRNA from 1 species